CAGGCCUAGUGUUUGCAGUGAAACACUGGCAGAAGGCUGAAGCAAAACCCCAAGGUCCCUGGCUUAAGGGAGUAGGGAAGGUCACUUGUUGGAAAGAAAGUUUGGAGCUGAACUGCUCAGUUGCCUCCCUUGGUCAAGCACCAUCCAUCGGUUCAUGGGGCUCCCUCUCUGGACCCGUGGAUAUUUAGAAAAGACUCAGAAGAUCGAAACUCUUGUUUGAGAAGCAACUGUUAGGAAAAGAUGAAGAAUGAAAAAGCAUCAGACGAGAGAAGAGUGUCCUUGUUCCAGAAUGGAAUCAAAACACUGCCCUGGGGAGUUAUGUAGGCAUUGUUUCAGAAGUUAAUACAUCAGUGUUUAAUGAUGAAAAUAACUGAGAUACAACGUGAGUCGAGCAUGCCUGAGCUUGCUAAUCAAAUAAGGACACUGCAAUUAUAUGACAUCAAUAAGAAAGUGGUGAACAUAUGCCACAUCAAGUGUAUGCCAAGGUAGAAGGAAUACUGCAAAUUGCAGAGCUGGCAUAGAGGUUCCCAGACUGCCAGAAAAUCCUGAUCUCUCUGGUACAGAAGUAGUGGGACCUGAUGUGGAGAUGAAGAGCUAUCAAAAGCUGUUCCCACAGAGAAGUUACUCCAAAGCUGCCCAUAAACAGAAAUGUUGUCCUUGUGGGAUGGCAGCAACAGGUAUCGAUCAGAGACUACAUUUUUGCCUGUCCUCGUUAUUCUGAGGAAGUACACAAGAAACAUGCCCUGCCAUUGCAGAGACUUUUAUGCUCAGCAGGUAGCUCAUGUACUGUAAAGCCCUUUCCCAAGUCCCAUUAAGAGCUCUUAUGUCUGGCCUUAUGCAAAAGAAAAGUAUUGCUGUGCUUUCUGGCCAUAUUUUUGCAGUGGAGUACUUGACAAGUGUAAAAUUGGAAAGAAAUUUCAUCAUUGUCAUUGCUACUUACUGAUACCUUUGAAGUGGCUCUCAGUAGAGCAGCUGAGGCUGAAGAAGGUGUGGCAAAGAAGCUCCAUCUUCCCCUUUGGCCAUCUCUCCUGAGAGGUGGGAAGUGGCAAGAUGUCCCUUUGGUGCCAGACUUGGUUCCAGAGAGCUCUGCAUCCUGUGUACUUGUCACUCCCCGAGGUACAGAUGUGCUCACCAGCGUUCACUGGGCUGUGACAAUGUUUGCUGCUGCUACUUUAGUAACCUCUGAUACUUUUGGCUGAGACAAGCAGCACCACAGCUGUAUGCUGCUCUAAUAGUGCACCUAUUUAUAUCCUGAACCCACAGCCCACAUAUUCACUGUGGCAGAGCUUUGCACAGUGGGACACUGCUUGUCCUGCUCUGAGGGAAAGGUGGCAUUCCCUUCCCUUCAAUGCCCACGCGCUGCAGGAGGCCAGUGCCAUCUGAAUGCCUUCCUCUCCAUCUGCCCUCUCCCCCAGUGUGGGGAGGGUGGGGGCACCCAGAAAAGGAGGCUGACAUGGCUCUCUUGGGAAGCAGCAGCUCCAGGAGCGCGCCAGUGCGGCUGCCAGCAGCUGUCGGAAGCCUCAGCAGUGCACUCUAUUGCUUUAUUAUUUCUUCUUUGCUAAUUAUUUCCUAAGAUGGGCGGGGGAAGGAAAGCAGGAGAGCACAAGAGCAGCAGCAGUGUGUGCUUGCUGGCAGGGCACAGCAAAGGCACUCGAACCGGCUCUAGCACAAGCAAAGCAGCAGGAGGUCUGUGAGAUGGGGCCGGACUGUUUCUGCUCUGACAAAAGCAGCCAGCAUCGGCAUAAAUGUGUUUUUAUUGAGCUGGUUCAAAGCGUUCUGCAAAGCAGCAGGCAUAGAAAAUACUGCCUGCAUGAGCUGGAAAGCACCCGGGACGAGUGCUGUGCAGGUUGUAAAGGGAAAGUAUGAAACGUCAAAGCAGAGGGGGCCCACACCAACAAAAUUCAUCCACUAGUCCAUGUGUAUCCUGAGACAAGCACACUGGCAUGCUCACAUAAAGCCUUGGUCACUGCCUGGUGCUGCCCCACAGCUUAGGGGCAGGCUGCCAUGCUGGUCACUGGUCCCCUUGC